rnacentral:rRNA from 1 species
AUGGAAUGCUGGCGGCAGGCCUAAAACAUGCAAGUCGAGCGGAGCGGCGGACGGGUGAGUAAUGCCUUGGAAUCUGCCUGGUAGUGGGGGAUAACGUCCGGAAACGGGCGCUAAUACCGCAUACUAUCAGAUGAGCCUAGGUCGGAUUAGCUAGGUGGUGGGGUAAAGGCCUCCCAAGGAGACGAUCCGUAACUGGUCUGAGAGGAUGAUCAGUCACAUGGGAACGUAGACACGGUCCAUACUCCUACGGGAGGCAGCAGUGGGGAAUAUUGGACAAUGGGGGAAAGCCUGAUCCAGCCAUGCCGCGUGGGUGAAGAAGGUCUUCGGAUUGUAAAGCACUUUAAGUUGGGAGGCGUUACCAACAGAAUAAGCACCGGCGAACUUCGUGCCAGCAGCCGCGGUAAUAC